rnacentral:rRNA from 1 species
UGGUGGAGUGAUUUGUCUGGUUAAUUCCGUGAACGAACGAGACCGCUACCUGCUAAAUAGUCUGGUGAGUGAUUUUCACUAAUGCAGGCUUCUUAGAGGGACGUUGCAUCCUAUUCGAUGCAGGAGGGAUAGCGGCAAUAACA